UGUCUAUUUGGACUAAGCAUUUGAAACAAGAAUCUUCAUCAACUCUUCGUCUUGCAUAAGAUGAUGAAGACAGAUGUGGGAGUCACCAAGAACGCCUCAAGAAUAGAAAAUAGAAAUUGUAAUUAAUCAGUUAUUGAAUUGUAAUGAAAUUGCAAUCAAAGAACGUUUUGAAAUAAAAACAAUAUCUUUUUCUAGUAA